GGAAGGAUCAUUAAUGAUUCUCAAAGGAUGUGCUGGCAACUUAUACUUGCAUGUGCACUCUGAUUAUCAUCAACCCUGUGCACAUUUUGUAGACAAGGAUAGCAAUGCUUAUCUGUUGUCUAUGAUUUUUAUACACACUAUUAAAUGAAAUUGUAUGUUUCUAAAGAAAAUUAAUACAACUUUCAACAAUGGAUCUCUUGGUUCUCGCAUCGAUGAAGAACGCAGCGAAUUGCGAUAUGUAAUGUGAAUUGCAGAAUUCAGUGAAUCAUCGAAUCUUUGAACGCACAUUGCACCCUCUAGUAUUCUGGAGGGUAUGCCUGUUUGAGUGUCAUUAAUCUAUCAACCCAACUGAGAUGUUAUCUUGUGUUUGGUGCUUGGAUGAUGAAGGUUGCUGGUCAACAUCAGCUCCUUUUAAAUGCAUUAGCAGAACUUUGUAUCAGCUUUGGUUUGAUAAUAAUUUUAUCUGAGCUGUUGCUGAAAAACAAUAGUUUAGCUUCAAAUUGUCUCACCGAGACUGUCCAGUCUUUGGGCAUUACUUUGACUUGACCUCAAAUCAGGUAGGACUACCCGCUGAACUUAAGCAUAUCAAUAAGCGGAGGAAAAGAAACUAACAAGGAUUCCCCUAGUAACUGCGAGUGAAGAGGGAAAAGCUCAAAUUUAAAAUCUGGCAGUCUCUGGCUGUCCGAGUUGUAAAUUAGAGAAGUGUUAUCCGCUCAAGCCUGUGCAAAAGUCUCUUGGAAAAGGGCAUCAUAGAGGGUGACAAUCCCGUCUUUGGCACAGAUUCCUUGGGCUUUUGUGAUACGCUCUCGAUGAGUCGAGUUGUUUGGGAAUGCAGCUCCAAAUGGGUGGUAAAUUCCAUCUAAAGCUAAAUAUGGGCGAGAAACCGAUAGCGCACAAGUACCGUGAGGGAAAGAUGAAAAGCACUUUGAAAAGAGAGUUAAACAGUAUGUGAAAUUGUUGAAAGGGAAACGCUUGAAGUCAGUCGUAUCCUUCAGAAUCAACCUAACCUUCUGUUGGGUGUAUUUUUUUGUUGGAUGGGUCAGCAUCAAUUUUGAUCAUUGGAUAAAGGACUUGGGAAUGUGGCAUCUUCAGAUGUGUUAUAGCCCUUGUUUGUAUACAAUGAUUGGGAUUGAGGAACUCAGUGUGACUUUGGUCCCCAGGGGGUAUUGCACCUCACACACGCACUUAGGAUGCUGGCAUAAUGGCUUUAAUCGACCCGUCUUGAAACACGGACCAAGGAGUCUAACAUGCAUGCAAGUGUUUGGGUGGAAAACUCAAGCGCGCAAUGAAAGUGAAAGUUGAGAACCCUUUGGGUGCAUCGACGCCUGGUCUUGACCUUUUGUGACAGACCUGCGGUAGAGCAUGUAUGUUGGGACCCGAAAGAUGGUGAACUAUGCCUGAAUAGGGUGAAGUCAGAGGAAACUCUGAUGGAAGCUCGUAGCGAUUCUGACGUGCAAAUCGAUCGUCAAAUUUGGGUAUAGGGGCGAAAGACUAAUCGAACCAUCUAGUAGCUGGUUCCCGC
rnacentral:misc_RNA from 1 species